rnacentral:rRNA from 1 species
AGACCCGAAACCCGGUGAUCUAGCCAUGGGCAGGUUGAAGGUUGGGUAACACUAACUGGAGGACCGAACCGACUAAUGUUGAAAAAUUAGCGGAUGACCUGUGGCUGGGGGUGAAAGGCCAAUCAAACCGGGAGAUAGCUGGUUCUCCCCGAAAGCUAUUUAGGUAGCGCCUCGUGAAUUCAUCUCCGGGGGUAGAGCACUGUUUCGGCUAGGGGGCCAUCCCGGCUUACCAACCCGAUGCAAACUGCGAAUACCGGAGAAUGUUAUCACGGGAGACACACGGCGGGUGCUAACGUCCGUCGUGAAGAGGGAAACAACCCAGACCGCCAGCUAAGGUCCCAAAGUCAUGGUUAAGUGGGAAACGAUGUGGGAAGGCCCAGACAGCCAGGAUGUUGGCUUAGAAGCAGCCAUCAUUUAAAGAAAGCGUAAUAGCUCACUGGUCGAGUCGGCCUGCGCGGAAGAUGUAACGGGGCUAAACCAUGCACCGAAGCUGCGGCAGCGACGCUUAUGCGUUGUUGGGUAGGGGAGCGUUCUGUAAGCCUGUGAAGGUGUGUCGUGAGGCAUGCUGGAGGUAUCAGAAGUGCGAAUGCUGACAUAAGUAACGAUAAAGCGGGUGAAAAGCCCGCUCGCCGGAAGACCAAGGGUUCCUGUCCAACGUUAAUCGGGGCAGGGUGAGUCGACCCCUAAGGCGAGGCCGAAAGGCGUAGUCGAUGGGAAACAGGUUAAUAUUCCUGUACUUGGUGUUACUGCGAAGGGGGGACGGAGAAGGCUA